CCGCACACGGUAGUUAAGCUUCUCUGCGCCAAUGGUAGUUGGGGGCGUCCCCCUGCGAGAGUAGGUCGCUGCCGGGC
rnacentral:rRNA from 1 species